UUUGACAACAGCCUGGAGGUGAAGCUGUGGCAGUUGGACUCCUGGCCCCUCGACAAACCAAUCCCGGAGAAUCCAGCGGCUAUCAUCAAUCUGAUUGCAGAGGUGGAGAAAUGCCCAUCACAUGUGCCUGGGAGUCACACGCUGGUGACCUGCUGCGAUGGGGCAAGUCGCUCAGGUCUCUUCUGUGCCGGUGUCAUAAUCUGCGACCAGAUCCGCAGUGACGGCUGCCUUGACGUGUCGCAGGCCGUGCGUUCCCUCCGGAGGAGGCGCUGCCAGUUUAUUCCUACUGUGGGACAGUACUCCUUCUGCUACACACUGGCUCAGAGUUAUCUGGAUUCAUUUGAAACCUAUGGGAACUUCAAGUAACAAAUAAUCCUGACCAGGGAUAUCCCCAGUCAUGGAACCACAAAGAUCCAGC